GAUGAACGCUGACAGAAUGCUUAACACAUCAGCAACUGAUUGGCGGCGGACGGGUGGGUAACGAGUAAAUAACUAGCCUCACAGGUAAGGACAACAAUUAGAAGAGACUGCUAAUACUUACUACUGUGAGAUAGCUUUGCGUCCCAUUAGCUAGUUGGAGAGGUAACGGCUCACCAAGGCGAGGAUGGGUAGCCGGCCUGAGAGGGUGACCGGCUACAAGGGGACUGGGAAACGGCCAUUAGGCCUUCUGGAGGCAGGAGUGGGGAAUUGAUGACAAUGUACCAAAGUCUGAACCAGCAAUUCUGGUUGCAAGAUGAAGUUAGGGGAAUGUAAAGUGCGUGCAGGUGAGAAGCGGUACCAACAGAAGAAGUGACGGCUAACUACGUGCCAGCAGCCGCGGUAAUAC
rnacentral:rRNA from 1 species